CUACAACCCUGUAAAGGCAGCAGAUUUGUACCUCUUGGAUAAUUUGAAGAGCAACCACUCCUCUACUUUUCUUCAUAAUCGGUUUCUUCUUCGUCCAACGGCGGUUGGAGAUGAAGUAGGCCAAAGCUACGCACAGUAAAAUGGCGCCACCGAAGC